AGCGAACGCUGGAGGCAGGCCUAACACAUGCAAGUCGAACGAACCUUUCGGGGUUAGUGGCGGACGGGUGAGUAACACGUGGGAACGUACCUUUAGGUUCGGAAUAACUCAGGGAAACUUGUGCUAAUACCGAAUGUGCCCUUCGGGGGAAAGAUUUAUCGCCUUUAGAGCGGCCCGCGUCUGAUUAGCUAGUUGGUUGAGGUAAUGGCUCACCAAGGCGACGAUCAGUAGCUGGUCUGAGAGGAUGAUCAGCCACAUUGGGACUGAGACACGGCCCAAACUCCUACGGGAGGCAGCAGUGGGGAAUCUUGCGCAAUGGGCGAAAGCCUGACGCAGCCAUGCCGCGUGAAUGAUGAAGGUCUUAGGAUUGUAAAAUUCUUUCACCGGGGACGAUAAUGACGGUACCCGGAGAAGAAGCCCCGGCUAACUUCGUG
rnacentral:rRNA from 1 species